GGUGCAUAUGGAGCAUUACAGAUCACAGGCCAACAUCUCUUCUUAAUUAUAAUUUAAUAACUCCACCGACUUCAGCAGAGAAAUUAACAGUCACAGAAAUAUAAAUGAAAACAGGAUAUGGCCUUUACAGUCUAGACCUUAAGUAUAAGCUCUAUCUCUAUUUUCUACUGAAAAUUAAGAGUAUUGGGAGCAAUGGAAAUAUUGGUAACUCAGUAUUAAAAAAGUAGGGUGGGGAGAGAGAGGAAGACAGGUGAAGAAAAAAGAAAAGAUGCAUAAUCAACAGCAUAUAACAUGUUUGUCCAAAUGAGAGGAACAGGAGAAACAUGGGAUCUCUAAUAUCACUCUAAAGCUAACAGAAUAGUAUAACCUGCCAGCAAAAGGAAGAACAGAAAAAAAGAAGAACACAGUGCUCAAGAUUCAAGACUUGCCUCCACAAAAGCCCUGUCCUCACUCAUGCAAGAAACCAGCUUAGAAAUACAUCUUCUAAAUUUAAGCACUGGAAAUGCUGCAUAGCAGCAGGUGUUAGGAACUCCUGAGCAGCUCAUUGGGUGGGCCACCAACAUUAAGUUUUUUUCCACAUCUGAGCUCCCAACAGGGCAAGAAUAUUCACACUAUGAGGUUCAAGGAUAAGAUAGAAACAAGUCAACACUGGCAUUUACCUUGUUGGCUGAUGUACAGCAGCAUCCCUCAAAAAGCUACAGACCACACAUUUCUCCUAUGCUAGCAAAAGAGGGCAGAUGUUAGCAGGAGGGUUUCAAUUCUGCAACCACCCAAGAACAUUUUUAAGGAAUAUCUUUGGAGGGCUCAAAUAUGUUGGGUUAAACAAGUGAGAAGCUGCUCAGUCAGUCUCUAAAGAGCCUUGUUCUGGCUCUCUAAAGAGCCUGAGGAACAGGCACUCCAAGCUGAGGCUCAAGCAUGAGAUCAAUUUGGAAAGAAAAUUAGAGGCGAUGUGCAAUCUGUGGGAAUGGUAAAUGAUCAAAGGUACACGUCAUGUUGACACCUUUCAUUUGAGUAUAAAUAAUAUCAAGAAUGGGAGGAAGUCAUGCCAGCAGAGUUACAACUUUAUAUUGUUUGGUUAGAAGUCACUGUAGUGUUCUAAGUGCUUUUCACUGUGUUUUAUUUAAGGAGUAAAUUUUAGGUAUUUUAUGAUUCUUCCUCCUCUAAACUUGACUGGGAGAUAUUAUUGUCUUGGGUUUUAGUUACAAUAACAACUUUCAUAAGUCCUGAAAUAAAAGCAGAAGUUUAUUCUUUGCUUACA
rnacentral:lncRNA from 1 species